rnacentral:rRNA from 1 species
GGCCAAGUUUUUAAGGGCGCACGGUGGAUGCCUUGGCACCAGGAACCGAUGAAGGACGUGGGAGGCCGCGAUAGUCCCCGGGGAGUCGUCAACCAGGCUUUGAUCCGGGGGUUUCCGAAUGGGGAAACCCGGCAGUCGUCAUGGGCUGUCACCCACUGCUGAACACAUAGGCAGUGUGGAGGGAACGCGGGGAAGUGAAACAUCUCAGUACCCGCAGGAAGAGAAAACAACCGUGAUUCCGGGAGUAGUGGCGAGCGAAACUGGAUGAGGCCAAACCGUAUGCGUGUGAGACCCGGCAGGGGUUGCGUAUGCGGGGUUGUGGGAUCUCUCUUCCACGGUCUGCCGGCCGUGGGACGAGUCAGAAACCGUUGAUGUAGGCGAAGGACAUGCGAAAGGUCCGGCGUAGAGGGUAAGACCCCCGUAGUCGAAACGUCAGCGGCUCGUUUGAGAGACACCCAAGUAGCACGGGGCCCGAGAAAUCCCGUGUGAAUCUGGCGGGACCACCCGCUAAGCCUAAAUAUUCCCUGGUGACCGAUAGCGGAUAGUACCGUGAGGGAAUGGUGAAAAGUACCCCGGGAGGGGAGUGAAAUAGUACCUGAAACCGUGUGCCUACAAGCCGUGGGAGCGUCGGAUGCAGCUUGCUGUGUCUCGUGACUGCGUGCCUUUUGAAGAAUGAGCCUGCGAGUUUGCGGUGUGUUGCGAGGUUAACCCGGGUGGGGUAGCCGUAGCGAAAGCGAGUCCGAAUAGGGCGUUUCAGUAGCGCGCUCAAGACCCGAAGCGGAGUGAUCUAGCCAUGGGCAGGUUGAAGCGGAGGUAAGACUUCGUGGAGGACCGAACCCACCAGGGUUGAAAACCUGGGGGAUGACCUGUGGUUAGGGGUGAAAGGCCAAUCAAACUCCGUGAUAGCUGGUUCUCCCCGAAAUGCAUUUAGGUGCAGCGUCGUGUGUUUCUUGCCGGAGGUAGAGCACUGGAUAGGCGAUGGGCCCUACCGGGUUACUGACCUUAGCCAAACUCCGAAUGCCGGUAAGUGAGAGCGCGGCAGUGAGACUGUGGGGGAUAAGCUCCAUGGUCGAGAGGGAAACAGCCCAGAGCAUCGACUAAGGCCCCUAAGCGUACGCUAAGUGGGAAAGGAUGUGGAGUCGCACAGACAACCAGGAGGUUGGCUUAGAAGCAGCCACCCUUGAAAGAGUGCGUAAUAGCUCACUGGUCAAGUGAUUCCGCGCCGACAAUGUAGCGGGGCUCAAGCGUACCGCCGAAGUCGUGUCAUUGACACAUGUACCUCCAACGAGGGUGUUGAUGGGUAGGGGAGCGUCGUCUGCCGGGUGAAGCAGCCGCGUAAGCGAGUUGUGGACGGUUGACGAGUGAGAAUGCAGGCAUGAGUAGCGAUACAAACGUGAGAAACGUUUGCGCCGAUUGACUAAGGGUUCCUGGGUCAAGCUGAUCUGCCCAGGGUAAGUCGGGACCUAAGGCGAGGCCGACAGGCGUAGUCGAUGGAUAACCGGUUGAUAUUCCGGUACCCGCUGUGAAGCGUCAAACACUGAGCAUCGUGAUGCUAAGGCCGUGAAACCGCCGUGUGCGUCUUCGGACAAGCACGGAGUGGUGGAGCCGCCGGACCAAGCGGUUAGUAGGUGAGUGAUGGGGUGACGCAGGAAGGUAGUCCAUCCCGGGCGGUGGUUGUCCCGGGGUAAGGGUGUAGGACGUCAGGUAGGUAAAUCCGCCUGGCAUGUGUCUGAGACCUGAUGCCGAGCCGAUUGUGGUGAAGUGGAUGAUCCUAUGCUGUCGAGAAAAGCCUCUAGCGAGUUUCAUGGCGGCCCGUACCCUAAACCGACUCAGGUGGUCAGGUAGAGAAUACCGAGGCGUUCGGGUGAACUAUGGUUAAGGAACUCGGCAAAAUGCCCCCGUAACUUCGGGAGAAGGGGGGCCACAUCCGGUGACGGCACUUGCUGCCGGAGCUGGGGGUGGCCGCAGAGACCAGCGAGAAGCGACUGUUUACUAAAACACAGGUCCGUGCGAAGCCGUAAGGCGAUGUAUACGGACUGACGCCUGCCCGGUGCUGGAACGUUAAGGGGACCGGUUAGCUCCAUUUCGGUGGGGCGAAGCUGAGAACUUAAGCGCCAGUAAACGGCGGUGGUAACUAUAACCAUCCUAAGGUAGCGAAAUUCCUUGUCGGGUAAGUUCCGACCUGCACGAAUGGCGUAACGACUUCUCGACUGUCUCAACCAUAGGCCCGGUGAAAUUGCACUACGAGUAAAGAUGCUCGUUUCGCGCAGCAGGACGGAAAGACCCCGGGACCUUUACUACAGUUUGAUAUUGGUGUUCGGUUCGGCUUGUGUAGGAUAGCUGGGAGACUUUGAAACGCGGACGCCAGUUCGUGUGGAGUCGUCGUUGAAAUACCAGUCUGGUCGUGCUGGAUGUCUAACCUGGGUCCGUGAUCCGGAUCAGGGACAGUGUCUGAUGGGUAGUUUAACUGGGGCGGUUGCCUCCUAAAGGGUAACGGAGGCGCCCAAAGGUUCCCUCAGCCUGGUUGGCAAUCAGGUGUUGAGUGUAAGUGCACAAGGGAGCUUGACUGUGAGACCGACGGGUCGAGCAGGGACGAAAGUCGGGACUAGUGAUCCGGCGGUGGCUUGUGGAAGCGCCGUCGCUCAACGGAUAAAAGGUACCCCGGGGAUAACAGGCUGAUCUUCCCCAAGAGUCCAUAUCGACGGGAUGGUUUGGCACCUCGAUGUCGGCUCGUCGCAUCCUGGGGCUGGAGUCGGUCCCAAGGGUUGGGCUGUUCGCCCAUUAAAGCGGUACGCGAGCUGGGUUUAGAACGUCGUGAGACAGUUCGGUCCCUAUCCGCUGUGCGCGUAGGAGUCUUGAGAAGGGCUGUCCCUAGUACGAGAGGACCGGGACGGACGAACCUCUGGUGUGCCAGUUGUUCUGCCAAGGGCAUGGCUGGUUGGCUACGUUCGGGAGGGAUAACCGCUGAAAGCAUCUAAGCGGGAAGCCUGCUUCGAGAUGAGGACUCCCACCCACUUGAUGGGGUAAGGCUCCCAGUAGACGACUGGGUUGAUAGGCCGGAUAUGGAAGCACGGUAACGUGUGGAGUUGACCGGUACUAAUAGGCCGAGGGCUUGUCCUC